UGGCAAGUUUGAAUUUACCUCA
rnacentral:miRNA from 1 species